rnacentral:lncRNA from 1 species
GUGGGUGUGCAAGUGCCUUAUGGAGGCCAGAAGAGGGCACCGAGGCUCCCGAAGCUGGAAUUACACAGGGAUGCUAGAUGAAAACUGAACUCAGAUCCUCUGGAAAAAGCGGUAAACACUCAUGGAGUCAUACCUCGAGAUCUUCCCUUGCUAAAUUUUACGUCUCCCCAUUUGACUGUAAGUUUGUCUAUAUCCUACAAUGUAAAAAAAAAAAUUAUCACCAAUUUUUGUGCAUUGUCAAAUUAUUCUAGAAUGUGCCUCACAUUUGGGUUUUAUGCAUUACCAUCCAGCUUGAAACAAAAUGGCAUCUGAGUGGCUCAUUUUCAAUUGUUAUUUUCAUUAUUUUUUAAAAUUUUAUGUGUCUGAGUUUUUUGCCUGAAUGUAGUUCCCAUGGAGGCCAGAAGAGGGUAUCAGACCACCCUGUGACUAGAGGUACAGAGAAUUGUGAGCCAUUGUGUGGAUGCUUCAAGUGGUGUGGUGUCUUCAACGACCAAGUCUUAUCAUCUGAUCAUGGUGUGCAACCAAGAAUGAGAAAAGCUGGCAUUGUUUUGAAGUGCCUUUCAGGACUCUUCAACCAACAAUUCCUAUGGAGGUAUCCUUUCCCAGACAUUGGAAUUUCCACUUAAUAACCCACUGCUUCUAGGCACAGCAUUAUAUAACCGUGAGGGGAAUCUCCUUUUAAACUAACCACCAUCACCACAAUCACCACCACCAGCACCAGCACCAGCACCAUCAUUGUUAUAUAUUUCUUAGUUGUGUUACAAGACAGUAUGCUUCCAUAUGGCUUUUGCAUGCAGCCCUCAUUUCAGUUCACCCUCCUCCCUCUCUACCUCAGCUCAUGCUCCCAGCAUCCUCCACUCUUGAACUUUCCCCUCACAGCAUUCACCCUUCACACUUCUGCUCUACUCUUCCUUUACGGCAUCGCUCACCCCAAUUUUAUUUACUCUUAAGUCUACUAAGUCUAAAGUAAUAAAAUAUUGGAAUAUUUACAUAUUAAUCAAAGAGAGCACUCAUGAAGCACCAUGAAAAACAAAACUGAAGGCUAGUAACAGAUGGAGUGUGCUCGCAUUGUGAUGAAAAACAGGGUGGUUACCCAUUUGUUGGUGUACACCAUAGCAUGGGAGGAGAACUCCUACCAUGAGACCCAAGAAGCAGCAGUUAGUUAUCAGGAGUCUAUCAAUUUGACUUUAGACCCUGUGCCACAGAUAAAAAGAGUAAGUGUGAAACGGAGAAAAACAAAACAACAACAAACAAACAAACAAACCGUAAAGGCGAGAGCAUUGUGGUCAAUGAAAGAUUGAAUAGCAGUCUAUUUCUUUGAUUCCCCCCAACCCCCAAGCUUAGAGUCCAUGCCUUGGAAGAAAAACUCUAUGGCUGGGAACUUGGUCAAAAUGCAGCAUCUGCCAAAUCAAUAAUUAUUUCCUUUGGUGUGUGUGGGGGGGGGGGGGGGAGGGGGACCUGUCUUUU